CCUACGGGAGGCAGCAGUGAGGAAUAUUGGUCAAUGGACGAGAGUCUGAACCAGCCAAGUAGCGUGAAGGAGGACUGCCCUAUGGGUUGUAAACUUCUUUUAUAUGGGAAUAAAAUGUUCCACGUGUGGGAUUAUGUAUGUACCACAUGAAUAAGGAUCGGCUAACUCCGUGCCAGCAGCCGCGGUAAUACGGAGGAUCCGAGCGUUAUCCGGAUUUAUUGGGUUUAAAGGGAGCGUAGGUGGAAUGUUAAGUCAGUUGUGAAAGGUUGCGGCUCAACCGUAAAAUUGCAGUUGAAACUGGCAGUCUAGAGUACAGUAGAGGUGAGCGGAAUUCGUGGUGUAGCGGUGAAAUGCUUAGAUAUCACGAGGAACUCCGAUUGCGAAGGCAGUUCACUGGUCUGCAACUGACGCUGAGGCUCGAAAGCAUGGGUAGCGAACAGGAUUAGAUACCCGAGUAGUC
rnacentral:rRNA from 1 species